AAAAGUUUAGUUAAACAAAUAACAUUAACUUGUCAAGUUAAAAUUAUUUUAAAAAUAACUUUUA
rnacentral:tRNA from 1 species